rnacentral:tRNA from 1 species
GAGGGUAUAGCUCGGUGGUAGAGUGCAUGCCUAGCAUGCAUGAGGUCCUGGGUUCAAUCCCCAGUAUCUCCA